AACGCACAUUGCGCCCGCGAGUAUUCUCGCGGGCAUGCCUGUUCGAGCGUCAUUUCAACCAUCAAGCCCCCGGCUUGUGUUGGGGACCUGCGGCUGCCGCAGGCCCUGAAAACCAGUGGCGGGCUCGCUGUCACACCGGGCGUAGUAGAUUUUAUCUCGCUCAGGGCGUGCUGCGGGUUCCGGCCGUUAAAAAGCCUUUUUUACCCAAGGUUGACCUCGGAUCAGGUAGGAAUACCCGCUGAACUUAA
rnacentral:misc_RNA from 1 species